rnacentral:rRNA from 1 species
AUUGAACGCUGGCGGCAGGCCUAACACAUGCAAGUCGAGCGAGCGGCGGACGGGUGAGUAAUGUAUGGGGACUGCCCGAUAGAGGGGGAUAACUACUGGAAACGGUGGCUAAUACCGCAUACUAUCGGAUAACCCAUAUGGGAUUAGCUAGUAGGUAAGGUAAUGGCUUACCUAGGCGACGAUCCCUAGCUGGUCUGAGAGGAUGAUCAGCCACACGGGGACUGUGACACUGCCCAGACUCCUACGGAUGCAGCAGUGGGGAAUAUUGCACAAUGGGCGCAAGCCGGAUGCAGCCAUGCCGCGUGUAUGAAUAAGGCCCUAGGGUUGUAAAGUACUUUCAGUCGGGAGGCGUUACCGACAGAAGAAGCACCGGCUAACUCCGUGCCAGCAGCCGCGGUAAUAC